AUGGCCUUUGACCCCUCCAGCCUGUGUUCGAUCUCCUCCAGGUUGCAGUCAGUGGUGUCCGGUCUUGGUCUCUCCGAAUCGUUGGGCUCUGCUGGUUCCUUCGCGGGCGCGCAUCCUUCUGCAGGCGUGGAGGCCCCGGAUCCGGCUGCGGGCACGGCCACGACGAUGCCUUGGAGAAGGCCAGGCCCCUCGCACAAGGCGCUCUGGCGUCGCCGAAAGUGGGAGCUCCGGCAGAGGCAGCUUGCAGCGAAGGAGCGGCCUAGGUUUUGCUCGCCUUCGUCUUCACAGGAGAGGGGAGAAAUCUGGUCGGAUUUGUUUGGGCUCUGCUUCAAGUGCUUUAGGGAAGGGCAUCGCAUGGAAGACCGCACCUUUAAGCCACUAUGCUUUCGUUGUGGGCUUGAAGGGCACAUCUGA
rnacentral:rRNA from 1 species